GAGAUGGAGACGGAGAGAGGGAGAGAGGGAGACGGAGACACAGGGAGAGGGAGACAGAGAGAGGGAGACAGAGAGAGGGAGACGGAGACAGAGAGUAAACUAUGGCUGUUCAGGGGAACGUUAUUGUUGGGUGUGUUACUUGCCAUAGCAUUAAAAGUCCAUUUACAAUGGGGUCAAUGAAAAGCUUACUUGACUUAGAGGAAACCAGGGGAGGGGGAGGAAUUCACACUCGUUUCCAAAAAUAAGUUUUGCCCGUUCCUUGGGAUUUGUGUUACACCACUACUGAGAGGGGAGGAGGGGAAAGUUCUGGAGGAUGUGAAUGGAAGGCUUGAGGUUGAAGAGGAG
ensembl:lncRNA